rnacentral:rRNA from 1 species
CCUACGGGGUGCAGCAGUGGGGAAUAUUGGGCAAUGGGCGCAAGCCUGACCCAGCAACGCCGCGUGAAGGAAGAAGGCUUUCUGGUUGUAAACUUCUUUUAAGAGGGAAGCGCAGCAGACGGUACCUCAUGCAUCAGCCACGUCUAACUACGUGCCAGCAGCCGCGGUAAUACGUAGGUGGCAAGCGUUGUCCGGAUUUACUGGGUGUAAAGGGCGUGUAGCCGGGCUGACAAGUCAGAUGUGAAAUCCCGUGGCUCAACCACGGAACUGCAGUUGAAACUGUCGGUCUUGAGUAUAGGAGAGGCAGGCGGAAUUCCUAGUGUAGCGGUGAAAUGCGUAGAUAUUAGGAGGAACACCAGUGGCGAAGGCGGCCUGCUGGACGACAACUGACGGUGAGGCGCGAAAGCGUGGGGAGCAAACAGGAUUAGAUACCCGAGUAGUC